rnacentral:rRNA from 1 species
AUUGAACGCUGGCGGCAGGCCUAACACAUGCAAGUCGAGCGGUAGAGAGAAGCUUGCUUCUCUUGAGAGCGGCGGACGGGUGAGUAAUGCCUAGGAAUCUGCCUAGUGGUGGGGGAUAACGUUCGGAAACGGACGCUAAUACCGCAUACGUCCUACGGGAGAAAGCGGGGGAUCUUCGGACCUCGCGCCAUUAGAUGAGCCUAGGUCGGAUUAGCUAGUUGGUGAGGUAAUGGCUCACCAAGGCGACGAUCCGUAACUGGUCUGAGAGGAUGAUCAGUCACACUGCAACUGAGACACGGUCCAGACUCCUACGGGAGGCAGCAGUGGGGAAUAUUGGGCAAUGGGCGAAAGCCUGAUCCAGCCAUGCCGCGUGUGUGAAGAAGGUCUUCGGAUUGUAAAGCACUUUAAGUUGGGAGGAAGGGUAGUAACCUAAUACGUUGCUACUUUGACGUUACCGACAGAAUAAGCACCGGCUAACUUCGUGCCAGCCGCCGCCGUAAGAC